UAGGGAAUCUUCGGCAAUGGGGGGAACCCUGACCGAGCAACGCCGCGUGAGUGAAGAAGGUUUUCGGAUCGUAAAGCUCUGUUGUUAAGGAAGAACGAGUGUGAGAAUGGAAAGUUCAUGCUGUGACGGUACUUAACCAGAAAGGGACGGCUAACUACGUGCCAGCAGCCGCGGUAAUACGUAGGUCCCGAGCGUUGUCCGGAUUUAUUGGGCGUAAAGCGAGCGCAGGCGGUUAGAAAAGUCUGAAGUGAAAGGCAGUGGCUCAACCAUUGUAGGCUUUGGAAACUGUUUAACUUGAGUGCAGAAGGAGAGAGUGGAAUUCCAUGUGUAACGGUGAAAUGCGUAGAUAUAUGGAGGAACACCGGUGGCGAAAGCGGCUCUCUGGUCUGUAACUGACGCUGAGGCUCGAACGCGUGGGGAGCGAACAGG
rnacentral:rRNA from 1 species